rnacentral:rRNA from 1 species
AGAACGAACGCUGGCGGCAGGCUUAACACAUGCAAGUCGAACGGUUGUAGCAAUACAGCAGUGGCGCACGGGUGAGUAACGCGUGGGAACAUCCCUUUCAGUCGGGAAUAACAGCGGGAAACUGCUGCUAAUACCUGAUACUCCCUCCGGGGGGAAAGAUUUAUCGCUGAAAGAUUGGCCCGCGUCAGAUUAGCUAGUUGGUGGGGUAACGCCUACCAAGGCUCCGAUCUGUAGCUGGUCUGAGAGGACGACCAGCCACACUGGAACUGAGACACGGUCCAGACUCCUACGGGAGGCAGCAGUGGGGAAUAUUGGACAAUGGGCGAAAGCCUGAUCCAGCCAUGCCGCGUGAGUGAUGAAGGCCUUAGGGUUGUAAAGCUUCUUUUGUCAGGGAAGAUAAUGACGGUACCUGAAGAAUAGCACCGGCUAACUUCGCGCCAGCAGCCGC